CCUACGGGAGGCAGCAGUGAGGAAUAUUGGUCAAUGGGCGAGAGCCUGAACCAGCCACGUCGCGUGAGGGAAGACGGUCCUAUGGAUUGUAAACCUCUUUUGCCGGGGAGCAAAAAGCGGUACGUGUACCGCAUCGAGAGUACCCGGAGAAAAAGCAUCGGCUAACACCGUGCCAGCAGCCGCGGUAAUACGGAGGAUGCGAACGUUAUCAGGAUUUAUUGGGUUUAACGGGGGGUGAGGCGGCGAGUUCAGGCAGCGGUAAAAUUUCGGGGCUCAACCCCGACAAGCCGUUGAAACUGGCUUGCUAGAGUGGGCGAGAGGUAUGCGGAAUGCGUGGUGUAGCGGUGAAAUGCAUAGAUAUCACGCAGAACUCCGAUUGCGAAGGCAGCAUACCGGCGCCCAACUGACGCUCAGGCACGAAAGCGUGGGUAUCGAACAGGAUUAGAUACCCGUGUAGUC
rnacentral:rRNA from 1 species